UUCACAGUGCUGUCUCCCUCUCCUAGUAUUCCCUUCCUGGCCUCUCUCAGUGAAGACUGCUCACUUGCUGUGCUGGACUCAAACCUUUCUGAGGUGUUUAGAAGCCGAGCCCACAGAGACUUUGUGAGAGAUGCUACGUGGUCCCCGCUCAAUCACUCUCUCCUUACCACAGUGGGCUGGGACCAUCAGGUCAUUCACCAUAUUGUGCCCACAGAACCCCUCCCAGCCCCUGGACCGGAGAGUGUUGCUGAGUAGAUUGUUUUUAAGACAAAAAGCAAGUCCCCCAUGAGUAUCCACUUCUUUGCCCCCGCCUUCUCAGCUUGUGAGAUAACAUAGGAGCCUUCUAUAGUAUGUUGAUACACUAGAUCUGUACAGUUGCAAUAGGCAUUGUCUCCCAGCCUGAGGAAGGCUGGAUUCUGGGAUCCUGUAGUCACAGGGACGAAAAACUUUCUUGAAAAUGGAUAUGUAUGUGUGUCUGAGUGUGUGUAUAGAUCUGUGGUUCUUGGUGGGAGGGGAAUAAAAAUAUCCACCC